rnacentral:lncRNA from 1 species
GUAAAUCAAAUUUCAGAAAAGGGAAGAUGAAUAAUGAGAAUAACAAAAAUGACGGAAGAUGCUAUGAGUGUGGAAAACAUGGGCACAUUCUAGCUGAAUGCCUUUAGCUGAAAAAGAAACUAAGUAGAAAUUUCCAAAAGAAGAAAUCAUUUGGAGCUUGGAGUGAUGAAGAGUAAUCUGAUCAUGGGGAUAUUGCCAACAUGUGUUUCACGGUUAUCAAAGAAGAUAGUGAUGAAGACUCAUGUGAGCUUGGUCUCAUGGCAGACAAAGGAACAAGUAAGGUACGUCUUCCUACAUGUCCUAGUUGUCACGAACUUCAAGAAUUUAUUAAUAUUGCUCUUGCAAACAUUGAGAAAAUUCUAAAUGAACUUCGAAAAAUCCAAAUAGAAAAGAAAGACUAGGCUCUGAAAUUAGAAGUUUGUGAAAUUGAGAGAGAUAUGCUUCAAGAUGUAGUCAAUGAACUUUAACUUCAACUAAAUAUAUUGCAAAAAUCCACCAAUCAUAGCUAAGUCAGAUCAAAUCAGUCUGCUCCGCGUAAUUUUACACUUAGAACCAGAAAUCACUCUGCAUGCACUCAUUGUGGCAAAAAUGGUCACACCUCUAACCAUUGCAGGUUUAGAAUUAGAGGAGAAAAAGCUUCUGAAAAUUCCAAUAACCUCUCCAAUUUUUAUUGUGAAAAACCUGGUCAUACAUUUAACCAUUACAGGUUUAAGAACAACAGAAGAUGGGUCUGGCGACCUAAGUUCUCUAGUCAAGCUAAUAUUCAGAGCACUAACUAUAUAGGACACAAGAAGGCUUGGGUACCUAAAAACAAGUAAUUUGUUUUUGUAGGAUCACCGCAAGAAGAAUCGAAAAGGGAAAUAAUAUCUUGAUAGUGCGUGUUCUAGAUAUAUGACAGGUUACAAACAAAUUUUCAAAUAUGUCACCAAACUAAAUGGUGGAUCAGUCACCUUUGGAGACAAAUCAAAAGGAAAUAUAAUUGGAGUUGGAGGAGUCCCUCUCAGCUAAUCAUGUGAUGUAGAUGAAGUAUACCUGGUAGAUGAACUUGGCUACAACCUAUUCAAUAUCAGUCAACUAUGUGACAAUGACUAUGAGGUUCAUUUUAAAAAGUAUGGUUGGUUUAUUGAAGAUGAAUCAAAUAAAGUUAUUCUUUUUGGAAAUAGAGAUAAGAAUGUCUACACCCUUAGUAAUAUAGAUAGUCUUGGAAAUCAGAUUUGUCUAGCCUCUAUAAUUGAUGAUCCUUGGGUUUGGCAUAGAAAAUUUGGUCAUGCUAGCAUGCAUACUAUUCAUAAACUUUUCAAACAUGGUCUUUCAUUGGUCUUCCAAAUUAGAUUUUUCAAAAGAUCAAAUUUGUGAUGCAUGUCAAUUAAGAAAACAAAUCAGGUCCUCUUUUAAGGUUAAAAACAUAGUUUCUACUACAAAACCUCUUCAACUCUUACAUAUGGACCUCUUUGGUCCAACUAGAAAUGCUAGUAUAAGUGGUAGAAAAUAUGUCUUUGUUAUAGUAGAUGAAUUUUCUCGAUUUACCUGGGGUAUUUUUCUGAGUCAUAAAGAUGAAGCAUUAAGGAAUUUUGAAGUCUUCUGCAAGAAGGUACAACGGAAAAAAGGUUACUUCAUGUUUUCCAUAAGAAGUGACCAUGGAGGAGAAUUUGAAAGCAAAGCAUUUGAAAACAUCUUCAAUGUCAAGGGAUCUCCCACAAUUUUUCAUCUUCAAGAUCGCCUCAACAAAAUGGAGCAGUAGAACGCAAAAAUAGAACCUAGUAAGAUAUGGCAAGAACUAUGAUCGUGAAAAACUCCCUUUCAUACCACUUAUGGGUAGAAGUUGUAAGCACAACAUGUCACAUCAUCAACAGAUAUUUAAUUUGACCUAUUCUCAAAAAGACUCCAUAUGAACUAUGGAAAGGUACAAGAUCCAACAUAAGUUAUUUCCAUCAUUUUGGUUCCAAAUAUUUCAUUCUCAACAAUGGAAAAGACAAUCUUAGUAAGUUUUAUCCCAAAAAUGAUGAAGGUAUUUUUCUUGGAUACUAUCCCUCUAGUAGAGCAUAUAGAGUUUUUCAUUAACGUGUUCUUUCUAUUGAAGAAUCUACACAUUUAUUUUUGUAGACACUAACCUUCACUUAAGGAAUGAAAAAUUUUCUGAAGAUGAGGAAAUUUUCAUAGUUCCAAAGUCUAUCAAUACAGGUGAAAACACUUGUGAUGAGGUGACUGAUCAGCAAGAUCAGUCAACAAACAGUCGCGUAGAUAACAAGGAACUUCCUACAAUUGAACAGUCGAGUGCUAUUGAAAAUGAGCUAGUAUCAGUCGUCCAAAUGAAUGGAAAAGUGAUACUAGAUAUCUACAUAAGUACAUCAUUGGAAAUCCUCAGAAAGGCAUCGCUAAAGCAGACAUAAAAUAUUGCCCUCAUGUCUUAGUUCGAACCAAAAAAGGUGGAUGAGGCCCUUAGGGACGAAAGCCGGAUAACUGUAAUGAAGGAAGAGCUUGACCAAUUUGAGAAAAAUAAAGUAUGGGAGCUCAUUCCUAAACCUCCAAAUGCAUCCAUUGUUGGAAUAAAAUGGGUGUACAGAAAUAAAUUGAAUGAGUCUGGACAAGUGGUACGAAAUAAAGCUAGACUGGUUGCUCAAGGCUGUCACAUCUCCUUUUUCACACUCCCGGAAGGGUAUAAGGGAGUUUUUUCCAAUUUAAGUGACAAUCGAAACGAGAUUAUUUAUUUAAAAUUAGAGUCGCCACUUGAGAUAGUUUAUUAGUGUCUCAAGUCACUGAUUUAAAAUCCCGAAUCGAGGAAGUUUGACUCUAUUUACGGUCCGCGAACACAGAAAUCCGGGUAAGGAACUCUGUUAACCCGAGAGAAGGUGUUAGGCAUUCCCGAGUUCCGUGGUUCUAGCACGGUCGCUCAACUAUUAUUAUUGGCCUAAUUAUCUGAUUGAUUACAUAUUUUAAACCUACGUGCAUUUUUGACUUUAAAACCGCUUUUAUUUAUUUAAGGAAUUAUUUCAAAGUUAUUUAAACACACAUCGCAAACCACGUUAUAUGAAAUGUACCCGUGAUUCACGACACGUCCUAUUUAACCUUGUUGGAAAUUAGACCCGGGUCACAUGAAAUGUACACCCGGACUUUAGUAGUAGCCAUGGUAAUUAUAUAAUUAAUGCGCCUAAAGCAAACUACGAAAUUUAUUUUGUUAAUAUCUAAGUUAUAAGAUUAAUGAGGGCCAUAGGUUCUACGAUUGAAAUGUAUGAAUGACGCGCCUCAGAAAAACUAUUCAACUAAACGAAAUACGGAUAUUCAUGUUUAAACGGAUUUGAGCUUAAGUACCACAACCACCCCAUGGGGACUGUAUCCACAGUUGGGAUGAUUUAGUACAUACUUAAAACUAACUAGGAGCUCACGUUGGAACAGGGAUCCAAUGCACGACGCGGGAAUCUAUAAAUCAUGAAUUUACUUGGGAAAGAAUGACUUUCAACACCUUUCAGAGAUGCGAUAUUUCUGAAUUUUAACAAUAGCACAGUAUAAUCAAAACAAUGCCUUAAAGGACAAAAACGUAGUACGAAAUGGGUGUGAUAAUAUAGAUCCAUUUUAACGAGCCUAACUAAAAUACAUGGUCUAAUGAAUUAACAGAAUAGGAAUCAAAGGGGUUGGACAUGAAAUAAAGUCAUGACAAAUAAAGAAAUGGGCCAAAGACUUGGGGGUCAGAUGGCCACCAACGGAUAGGCUUCAAAGGCCCAAAUAACCCUUGGAGCUUGGGUCAUUCCUUAUAUGGGCCCUUUUAUCAUCUUUGACUCAACCACAACAUCAAAGCAUUAAUAUGCAUCUGGGAUCUCAACAACACAAAUGGCAUUUGCAAAUCACGUUCCAAAUUUUCAAUACAACUACACCUGAUAUUGAUUUAACAUGACCAUCUGCGGAUAAAAGUGUGGAGAUCCAACUUUCAAUUUUUCAUGGACUUGGACUUAGUCCACACGGGCCAAAACAUGGUUGAGAAUACACAGGUUGACCAAACAAACUAGCCCAACAUAAUUAAAUAUUUUCAACAAGUGUAGAUGCCAAAGCGUUUCAACUAAAGAACAUCUAACUAUUUACUAUCCAGAAUUGGUAAAUUCAGUUGAUAACCCAAACUUGCAUAUAACUAAAUUUAUCAUCUAAUAAUUGGAAUCACAACAUAAUAACUUGAAGAUUAAACAUUACACAAAAGAUUAUAAGUUAAACUCGAUUGAUGCAUCAACCUCAACACACAUACAUCUUCAAACUCAUUUUUGCAACCCAAGGAUUUAAAGAGGGUACCUGGAUUCAGAAAACGAAAGCAAAUGAAUUCAAAGUCAGCUACUGGCAGCUAACAAAUAACAGGUUCAGCAACAGUAAAAAAAAUCACACAACAGCUUCUUAGUCAAGUCAUGCUUCAGCUUCAAGAAACCAACAAACCCAGAAAGAAUAUUUCCAAAAGAAACUUUUGCCCAGAAAAAAGAUGAAAGCUCAGAAUUGAAUUCAGCAGAACUCCCUUAGCCAUUUUCUAUUUUUUG